GUGCAGCAACUUGCUGCACGUACACUAAAAUUGGAACGAUACAGAGAAGAUUAGCAUGGCCCCUGGCGCAAGGAUUACACGCACAAUCGUGAAGCGUUCUCAAUUUUC
rnacentral:snRNA from 1 species